rnacentral:lncRNA from 1 species
GCGGCCAAAUGCGCGCAUUGCUACUGCGCAGCGCUGGUUUCAGGAAAUGAAGAAAAAUCCUGGAAAUAUCGAGAGCUAUUUGGCUUCAAAUCUGUAUACAGGCGGUAGGCGGAACGAAGUUGUCCAUAGUAUAUACAGUCUAUGGAUACAGCCUAUGGGCGUUCAGGGAUUGCGUAGCUCUCCCGGGUGAUACGCUGUUUGAGCCGAGCGUCAUCACAGCGACUCUCAGCGACUGCGCGGCCGAAUGCACGCAUCGCAACUGCACAGCUCUGGUUUCAGAAAUGUAGAAAAGUCCCAGAAAUACCAAGAGCUUUUUGGCUCCAAAUCCGUAUACAGGCGGUAGGCGGAACCAAGUUGUCCAUAGUAUAUACAGUCUAUGGUUUGGCCCCACUCACUGCUAAUUUCAUUACUUGAAACAAAUUAUUAUUAUAGUGUUAGGUAAUUUAAUAUUAAAUCACACUUGGAUGAAUGGGUCGUUUUUGACCCAUGUGUGUAAACUUGAUGUAAUAAUAUAGAAACUAUAUUAUUUCAUAAAGUAUGAAAAGAAAAAUAGAAAUAAUGAUCAGUGGUGAUCAAAAACAAGAUUUUUAAAGAAUACUUGGAAUAUUCAAUCAGAAAAUAAACUGAUUUCAAAAGAUAGAACAAAGAAAAACUCAGCCAGCAUGAAAUACCAUUGGAAAUGAAUGCGGGUCUUUUUAGACCCAUGUUGCGCAUUAGAGGGGGUGUGGAUAUGUUGCGCAUCAAAGGGUUAAAGACCCACUCCAAUGAAAAUGAUGUUUUUCUUGUUUUCUUCAUGUUCAUAUGGCAUUUUUCUGAUGCUACAGGACAUAUAAGAAAACUAAAUGGGAAAUGCCUUUCUGAGUAUUUCUUUAUUCAAAUCUCUGUGAAUCUCUGGCAGACCUUAACAGCAGGUUCAGAAACAGUGAGAUUUCCUACAUAGCAAAUCUAAGCUCCGCCUCUGCAGCCCUGAUAUGCAGGCCACACUCUGUGUAUAGAGGAGAAAUACAGAGGAUGAUUUCAGAACAAGCGUGUGCAAUGGUGGAUUGCAAUGCUUGUAAGAAAGCUUAUUAUGAUAUUAACUUUCAUCAUGUCCCUAAAGACAUUAGUGUCUGAGAGCUGAAUAGCUCCUAUAUUACCUGUUUCUUCUACUACACCGGCAAUGUUAGACUACAAGCUAGCAUGAAGAGGAGUGUGGACAGCAGUGCUGUCUCUGCCCACGUCUCAGAGGCGAAUUGCUAAUGAGCUACUGGAGCUCUGCAGAAGAAAAGCCCUUGAAAAUGACACAAGUAAUGGUAUUUUGGCUAAAAACCUCAUAAUCACAAUUUAAAAACCACUGAGAACACUAGCAGUUGUAAAAAAAAAAAAAAAAAAAAAAGAGUGUGACUUUAAAUUUAAGAUCCCAACUUGAUUAAGCCGUCCCUGCCUAGAUAAUCCCUGUUCCUGUUGGAGGAAGUCUAGACCCAGCAUGAAAAGGAUGGUGAGGGUCUUAGCGCCAACUUUACACACAGGCUGCAAACUUAAAAUUUACAGUCAGAAGAAAUCACAGUGAAGUGUGUCAUUUAGCUUUGAUCUACACAACAACAGCUUUCGUUUAAUCUCUCACUGAGCUAUGCUGAAUUCUCAUGUCUAAUCCUGUAACUGCCCAACAUUCCCCCAUCAUGUACUUCAAAAGUCCAGUUUCAGUCAAAUUAAUGUAAUAAAUUGAAGUACCUACAAAUUUAGAUCCAUAGAAAGAAGUACAAACUGUUAUUAAGAAAAUCCCACUGGCCUCAAGUCACAAGCACUGCACCAUGUUGACAAAGGAUUCAGCACCUUAAGAUCUCACUUCACUCAUUGGUUGUUCAUUGAGGCUCCUUGGAGCCUUGCGAUGUCUCUGGCCCAUGUUGCCAUGAUCUGUCUGUCCAUACAGGCCAUAGAACCAUCUGUUACUCUUUUUCUCCACUUCUUCCACCAUCAGCUUUUAUUGCAAACUUAUCUGUGUUUCUUCUCAAGAUAAAGAACACGCAGGCUCUUCUGUUAAACAGCAUGUCUGUAUUAUUGCUGAUAAUCUUUCCAUAUAUCAGCGUAAGCUCCUUCCUUACUUUAAAGACAUAAGUUAACACUGAAAGGUGAAUGUAUAUCUCUUUUUUAUUUUGCAUUCCUGCCUCCCCAUUGAUUUUUUCCCCCCAACUUUCUAAACUGGGGGUUUUCUGUCUAUCUCUCAUCUCCAAUAAUAUCUGGGAUCAGGGGCUGUUGCUCAAGGAUGAGCCUCGCCUUUAUGAAUCAUAGAAACAGGCAACAUGUGGUUUUGGUGCUGGGGUGGAUUUUCUCCUGUAAUGAGCAUUCUGCAGUGUCUGUAACCUGCUGGGGAGACCAGACAUCAUUUAUACUCAGGGCAAACAAGCCACACAGGCUCGCCUGCCAAAAGCACCAUCCAUUUAAUAGAGACAAGUCAGAGAGGGCAGGCUGCACGCUGCCACACAGCCAGCACUGCACUGCAGAGCACAGCUAACAGACUGGGGGGCGGGUUGAAGAAGUACAUAGGUUUGCAAUGAUUAUUUGUUAUGAGUUAACUUGUAAAUAUGUUUAGGUUUUAAGGUUAGAGCAUUUAUUCUGGCUAGGACUGUCUGAAAAACUUGGCAGAAGCAGCAUCAUUAAAAAAUACCUGGUGCUCGGCCUGACCAUGAAAAGAUGUCUAAACUUAAAUUUGACUGGACCAAAUUUUCUGUUCAUUCCUGUGCUUUGAAAUGGUUGGACUGGGAAACUCUCAGGUGUAAUUCUGAAGGGCAUCGCAUGCUCAGCAAACCUUCUCAACAAUAUGAGAGCUUUACAAAAAGAAAAAAAAAAGGCACAAUCUGUUUAAAGAGUGUGAUACGAGGGUGAAACUCAUUUCCUCAGCGUUGCCCCUUUGUGUUUUCGCUUGGAACUCAGCCGAGAAAUCCACAGGGACAACAAGGUGAGUGGCUUGGCCUGCUGACUACCUUUAUUUCCUCAUUUCCUUUAUUUCCCAGAUUGUUUCACUAAUAUCCGUGGGGGGGUUCAGGGUUAUGGUCAAGCCCAGUGCCUGCCAAUCUUCUCAAAGCGUCAGCUGAAACCCUGCAAGCACAACAACUCUUCAGCUCCAGUUAUCCAUGUGUAGAAACUCACAUAAAGCCUUCUAUCUGUGAAAAAUCUGUCAAUUCUGCUCACAGGCCUCACUGUUGAUUACUUCAACUAAAUUGUCAUCACCCAAACUUUUAUCAGUUUUUUUAAGUUAGGCUGUCAGUCAUUAAAACACGCAAUCCCAUUCUCUGUCCAAACUGAAAAGAGAGAAGUCUGACCACAUUUACUGAACUUGACGAAAGGCUCUGUGUCUUGUGAUGCCAUAGCCCCUCCCAGCUGCAUGAGCACAGGUCCGCUUUCCACACUGCAGAGACUCUCCUACAGUGAUAAGUUAUCUGUUAGUUAGCAGUGCUCUCCUAAUAUUCAGGGUUUGGUGCUUUGAGUGUGCGCCCACGUCAGCCUUUACUAAGAAAUCAUAGUAUCUGAGUUAACUGCUGUUUGGUAAGAAGUUAGCAUUAGCGAAUAGCCUGCUGAGAUAUUUCCUUUGAAAUUAUCUCAUGAAGCAAUUAGCAGUUAGCCUGCAAGUGAAAAUCAUGCUCGUGAUUAUCCCGCGAGUGGUUAGCGCUAGCAGUUAGCCUGCAAGCAAAAAAUCAUACUAGUGAUUACCAUGCUAGCUGGUUAUAUGGGAGUAUCACUGAGAGACGUUUGUUAGCAUCUUUAUGUGCAGCCUUGUUUAUCUUGUUAACUUUAUUGGAAGGUUUGAUUUGAUUUCUAUGACAUCUGAUAUGUUAACAGAGUGGUGUAGUAAUUAUGAGUGAUGGUAGUUCAUUCAUCAGGACAUGAUGUGUCUUAUUUCUAUUUUAUUGUUUAUUUCAGCCACACACAUAUCCACAUGCUCACACAUAUACCCACCUGCCAUCUGUCUACUUCACUUUAUUUUGCUGCAAGUUUGAAAUAAAGGAAGUUAAAGGAGAGCUGCUCCACUGGAGUCCUUAGUGACAAUAUGAUAACACUUACCAUUCACAACCAGCUUUUUAUUUACCUGUUCCCCAACAACCAUUUUUACCUGGUUAGACAUAGUAAGAAGACACCACACAGUUUUAUGCAUUUUUUUUAACACAAUCUCAAUUUUAAAAUUUGGUUAUGGUCCAAAAUAAAAGAAUGGAAUAAUAAAAGAGCCUCCCAAGCUUUAACCACUGGCAUUUCCUAAACUAAAUGAAUUAAGGUAGUCAAACCCAGAAACCCAAUUUAAAGGCCAAGAAAAUCCCAUUUGAGUACAUUUUACUUAUUAAACAUAGAAAAUUCUGCAACUUUGAAUCUGAAGAGACCACAGAGCUCUUUUUGACCUUAAGGCAUCUAUCCUGGUCCUAAAAAUACUUCCAUUUCAGUCUGUUUCAUAAGCAGCAAAACUCCUCACUGAGGCAUUAAUUCUUUUAUUACUAUUUUUGUAAUUUAGUUUUCUCAAAUAUAUGAAAAACACAGAGCAGGGAACAAUAGCAAAAUGCUAUGUAGCUUUGAAGGUUGAAAAGAAAGAGGAGGCAGUAAACAGUGGAGGUAAUGAUGAAAUCCAUGUCAAAUACAACAGAAGAAAUUCUGCAAUCAAUUCUAACAGCACUAGCCAGGCUGUAAAUGUAAGACUCACAGUCAGACACUACAGUAUCAUCUACACUGAUUCUAAUUCAAAAACCCUGAUUUGUCCAAUUUACUAUCUUGUGUCAAAGAGUGGGUGAAGGCAAUGUCAUUAUGUUGCUCAUUCACCUUAAAGAGUAAUGAAGGGCUCAGUAACUCUUGUUCCAGCAGAGCUGAGCUCAGAGUUUAGGAGGCUUUGACUUCUGUUUGCAGUAACAAUGUUUUGAUCUCAUGCAGAAAACUGGCAUCUUCUCAGCCUAACCUCACACUCUGCUCAGGAUUAUGGGAAUUCUAAUUUUGGCCCAUGCUUCUUUUGGCACCUUUUGAAAGAGUUCCAGCUGUUGGGGGUAUAUGCAUGCUUUGCAUAAAGGCUGUAGCUCAAACUCACAGUACAGAUUGAAUCUAUUUCACAGAUCCUACCAUUUCCCAUUGUAAUCUUAUCUUGAUAUACCAGCCAUGAAUCGUGGCAUAUACAUAUAAAAUGUAUCCCUCCUUUUACUAAAAGAUAAUAAAUAAGUGUGUGUAAUUUCAUUUUAAUAAUAGUUUAUCAUUUUAUCUUAACAGCACUAAGUCUGCUCUUGAAUAUAAGUUUACACAACACAUGAAUUUCUUUUUACUAUUGAUCGAAGAAUGAUAGGAAAUUAUUAAUUAACAGGGGAACAUGUGGUGUUGAUACUCAUUUUGUACACCUGUGCAAAGCAUCAAAUGUGUAUGCAACUUAAGUGUCAUUGUGAGUUUUCAGUCAUCCUUUUAUACCUGGUGUCCACUGUGUGUUAACAGCACAUAAACUUGCACCUGCUGAAGGGUAAGUUGGUUUCUGAAUAACAUACUGAGGUGCAGUACAGAGAGCAUCUUUGCAAUAGACCAACCAAAACCUGGGCAAAAGUCAGGUAGGUACCCCCAGCAGGAGGGGGUCAAGUGCAUUGCUCAAGUCCACCUUGGAAGCACUGGAAGAGUUCCUCUCCAGGUACCAAGUCAAUUUCCAAACUUUGGUCCACUGGAACUUAAACCGGUGACUUUCUGGUCCCCUAAGCCAAGUCUCUGCUGAGCUGCUGCACCUGAAAGCACAGAGAGGUUUUAGAGAAGAGAAAAAUUGUAGCAAAGAGCCUGAAAGCCUUAGAUAGUUCAUCUGUUACCAUUGUAUGACAGCACAAAAAGAUGGGUGUAUAUGCAGCUGUCACAUGAGCAGAAAAUACAAUUGUUAGCAAGGAGAUCAUUUCCACUUCCCUCAGACUGUCUGAUGUUUCUAUUUUAAAGUUAAGUAACAAAACAAACUUCUUAUCAGACUUGAUUCAUCAGGCACUUUUUGCUUUUUUGAGGAGGCAGGAGUGAAAAUGUUUCAUCUUAAGCUAAUUGUAUUUUGGUUUCAGAGUAUGUGACACUGUUGCAGAACAUGAGUAUUGGCUGUAAUUGUUAAUUUUUUUUGCAGGAUGCAAUUGUACUUUUCUUCUACAAAUCACUUAUCUGCAGUCAUAUUUAAAAUGGCUUUGAAAAAUAUGUUUGCAGGCUAUUUUACUCACCACCCCCUAACCAUGACCCAGAGAGUUCCCUGUUAUUUCUGAGGUGAGCAGUGGAAGGGUGUAAGACAUUGGUAUUAUUGCAGAUUGAUCUAAGAUCUAUUUUUCUCAUGGAUGCUGUUCAAACUGACCUUUAAACAUUCAAAAUUAAAUAGCUAUUUAUGCAAUAAUUUCUAAGAAAUAAUAUUCUAUUUCCUUAAAUCUCUUAUGGAUUUUCUUGAUUGAAAUUCUAUCCCUGUCACUACUUUUAUAUGUAAAUCUUCGUCAACUUUUUGUAAUUCAUAUCCUCAAAUUCAGCCCAUCUGGUUAGUACAUCCUGAGUUUACAUAAGACUUGUUUCAAAGAGCAAAUGCAGCUUUAACAGUGAUACUCAAUGAUGAAGAUGGUGAGGGUAAACAGAACCAAGUGGCAGAGUCUGAUGAAGUCUUCACUGGUUCUGUGAAAACUCUGAUUACAUACAGUAUAUCUGAAAGACUGGUGGGUUGUAACAUGAACAUACGGAGUGCUGAAAAUGAGUGAAAGUCUUUAUGUUACACCAACAGUUUCUGAUUGAAAGGCUGAACAAAUCUCUUAUCCUGCUGUCAACCAGUCCACCCAUGUGCUUAGUAUCAGAUUUAAAGUAAUUAUUUUUUACCAUAGACUGUAUAAACUAUGGACAACUUGGCUCCACCUUCCAUCAUUAUACAAAUUUAAAGCCAAAUUGCUCUCAGUAUUCCCGGGAUUUUCUCCACUUCCUGGAACCACCACUUGUGUAGUAGCGUUGAAUGCAUUUGGUGGGAGAGUCACCGGGUGAGCUAGGCAAUCUUCAUACGCCCAUAGGCUGUAUCUAGUAUCAAACAAUAAAAAACAUGAACCCCCUCAUAACUUUAAAAAAUGGAGCUGUACAGGAAAAAAAGGACUUGAGUACAAACCAGUCUUACAUUAACUACAUGUUAACAUCACAAUUAGAGGGGAGAAAAAUGUAUAUCCUGUGUAAUAAAUUUCCAAAGUUUGUCCCCAGCUCCAUAGGGAUUGCUGGAGGAGGCAGGAUUUAUGACCUAUACUGCAGCCCGUCAACAGAGGGUGCUCUUUUCACAGUGGAUUUGCCCAGCGAGGAGGCAGAGGGCAUCAAUUCAAUAUACAGUCUAUGGUUUUGACCUACAAACCUGAGCACCAGCCCACCACACAUUUCUCUCACCAGAGGAACAUCACCUUCUAAACUCCAGUGUGGGUGGUUGAUAGAUAAACUCAGCCAGAGUUUUGUUUUGGCAGAAAGUGUUGUUGAUUAACACCUCCCCACUCCCAGUUUACUUGCAGGUCUGAUUCCUCUUUGUACCUCAACAUGUGCAACACAGAGUUUAUUAGACAACUCAUGCUGUGCAGAAUGAAGACAACAUUUCUGUUUUCUGAGAAAAGGUUCAGGGAAGUGAACGAAGAACUAAAUCGUUUGUGUGGAUGUCCGUAGAGAAAAGAGUAGAUAAUUGUCUUUGUUCAAAGUCUUUGAUAUUUGAACUUUCUCAAACCACUUUUUGGUGUUUUAGCUGCAUUCCUGUUAUAUAGGAGAAUAAAAAGAAUAAUGUUGAACACACAGAUUAAUAGUUAACAUAACUCUUUAAUUAAAAGAUAAGCUUUUGAUAACCUUUGAACACCCAUUCCACUGUAUGGUUAUUCUUUCCUGUUUGCCCACUAUCAUUGUUUGGUCCUCUAUUUGCCUGCGAUACACUUGCAGAAAACCUCUUUAUUUUCUCUGGUAUUUGUUAUUUUUAAUGGCUGUGAACAGUAUGCACAGCUGAGGUUCCUCUUUUUUAAACAAUGUAAAGUGAAGGUGGCUUACCUCAUUUGAAAACAUAGCCAGUACCUGCUGCAUUCUGACCUCUACAACUCCACAUCCUCUACAUGACUUUAGUAACAGUUAGUGAACAGUUCUAGGCAGUGUUAGAGGCGAUAUAUCCCAACAUAAUGGAGUGAAAGAGCAUUUUUAUAAUCAGCUUUAUUAGGCAGUUAUGUGAGCAGUUAAGUUAUAUAACUGUUCUUUUUGGAGGGCUGAUGUUGAAGCUGACAGUUUUCAGGUGUUUGUAAUCAUUCAGUGAAGCAUGAGCCUCUGUUUAGUGUUUGUAAGUUAGGAGUCUCAGAUAAUAGGAGUCUAAGAUAAAGAAUAAAACAAACAUAAAAACAGGCUUAAUCAGUGAAGUUUGUGCAAUUGAAAUAUAUAGAGUUUUUUCCCCUACAUGUUGGAGACUGUAGCUGAGUAAAAAGAAAAGAAGUGGGCUUAAAGCCUGGAGCUCCAGAGCUUUAAGGCCUGAUACCUCAGCCAAGAGAGAGGGACUCGAGGUUUUGGUUGAGGUUACAUCAUCUUGGACUCAGUGACUGUUGCAUAGAAGAGAGACUGAGCUGGAACAACCCUCUCAUCCUGAAACAGAUGUUUUCUUCUUGGCUUACUUCCUCUCUAAGAUAUAUAGUCAGACUGGAACACUGGACAGAAUGAUUUAUGACCACUCAACAGAUUGGUCUACUUUUUAGGGAGGAUUGGUGUCUCCAAAACACAAGGAAUACUUUGACGAGGGACUAGGAGUGUGUGGAGGGGAGGACACUUUAGGAUUCAUUAUGUAGUGAAAGCCUUUAACAGCAAUAAAGAGUUUAAAUAAAGUGACCAGAGGUAUAGAUAAGAAAUGAAAGUUACAGCAAACAGCAAUGCCACGAGGGUCAUAGAUUGGUAUGUUAGUUAUUAAAAUUACAACUCUUUUUUAUUCCAUGUCUUUGGGCUCGACUCUAAUGGGACAUUCACACCAAGCACAAGUUAAAUCAUCUGUGCAAAUGAAUUGCAUGUUAAGUCAAUGCAAAGACACGUUUGGAUACUCAUACUACUCUGGCAGUGGGAAUGAUGCGAAUCGGGUGGCUCGAAUCGUGCGAAUCGAGCGAGUUAUUUGCGCACAUUAAGCGGACGCGAAUUGAUGAGAUUUGAAAAUAUUUUAACUUUAGCGGAUAUUCACGUCGCAAUAACCAAUCAGCAUGAAGGGUGACGUAUGAAAACAGGCCACUGGUGUGAAAAUAUACACACAAAUCCUUUUACUCACAGCAGACAGAUGGACAGGCACUCUGCAACCGGGAUAGAGCGCCUGUAAUUGGUAUCCUGGCCUUAACCCUCACCAACAGGUCGUUAACUUGGGUUUAAGUAACCCAACAAUACUUCUGGAAACAGCCGUCAUCCAGGAGCAGUAAUUGGAGGAGAUCCAGAGACGGCAAUGCCUACAUCUCCAACUGUUGUGGGCCUUCCACAAAAAAAACAAAGCAGCAAUCCAUUGAACUUGGUUCACUCCUAUCAUGUUUGAUGGAGACUCUCGCCCUCUCAUGUAUCCACAGCUUUAUUUAUUUUUUUAUUAUAAAAACAGGAAUAUAAAGGAGCUCGUCUGGAGGAAAGUGAGUGAGGAGGUCGAAUUAUCAAGGAAGUUGUGAAAAACUUUGUCUUUCAGUUGAUCAUGCCACAUGAAUUGGCAAGGAUCACUGUUGAAAUUAGCAUAAAUGGCCAGGCACAGCUUUUAAGCACUCUGUUGACACACAAAUCAUUCACAAGAAUAAAGUGAUUAAAUUCUUUUCAUUCCCAUGUCUAGAUACACGUGAAUUAAGCGAGUAGAUGAUUUUUCUUGCACUUGGUGUGAACGCCCUAUAACACAGUUAUGUGGACUUGUCUACAGUUAUAACCACUUUGGGCUCUAUUUUUGUGUCCGCCGGUGAGGCGGCGGAGGGUGGCGGACCCCGCGCAGUGGUAUUUUCGUCUGGCAGAGCCUGGCGUACAGCCAGUUUGGUAUUUUUGUGGACUGAGGCGCACCGAGGUCCGCCAAGCUGGGCGCGGUGGUGUGGCAGAGGGAGGUGUCGACAGAAUCAGCUGGCACAGUGACAUUUU